GCGCGGGUAGCUCAGAGGUGGUAGAGCUUUCGAUUGCAGCUCGAAGGGGUCACUGGGUUCGAACUCCGGUCUCGCGCC
rnacentral:tRNA from 1 species